rnacentral:lncRNA from 1 species
UUUAUCCCUCGCUGUAGGGCUGUAGCAGUGUCCCUGGACUCCAACCUGGAGGAGCAUGUUGUCGCUGACACAUUGGGCACCAUACUGAACUGGUGCUUCAAGCAGAGGCUGCUCAACAACAGCCUCCAAGUUCAUGCUGGAUAAGGCCAACCUCAUGAUUGACACGCAGGGCUUCUCCUCCCAGAGCAUCCACAUCCUGAGGUGGAUCACAGAAACCUGCUUUUGGCACAGGAAAAUGCAAAAGGAGGGAGUAAGAAAGAACUGGGAGCAGAAGCGUGCAGCCCUCUGCAAUCUCUAUGGCAGCAUUUCCAGGCCUUAAUCUUCUGCCAGGUACAGCUCAUUUGCAAGCAGUGAGCUGCCAGUGAUCCAUCUGACAUGAUCAAUCCCCAGUGUGACAUCAGCAGUGCUUCAAAGAUCACCAGAAAUGAGGGAACAGGUGCAAGGGAUGGAUGGGAACAGUCAGAAUUAAAAGCUCAAAGUGGUAACAGCAUCUAAUAGUUGGAACCAUGUUUGCUUAGCUUUCAUGGUGGGCAUUAUGUGGAAACCAUGCUCUGUUCCCCCAGCCUUUGUGUUUUGUGUCUAACAAAAGCAUUUUGUGACUUCUUUCUCUUCUUUUUCUUUUUUUUUGCCUUAUUUUGAGGCUCUGCCUAUUCCAAAGCACCACAGCUGUGGAGAAAGGAAUACAAAAAGGUAUCUCAGGGAAUCCAUACCUAGUGACACAAAGAGAAGUGUGGAAGAAUCAAAGUCAUGGCCUGAGAAAAUUAUCUGGUCAGCAAUAUAAAAAAUGGAGAGAGCAGACAGUGUUUGUCAAGACCAGAAAUGUAGAUUUGUCAGUAAUCAAGCUACAAGAUGCUUGAGAUUUGGAUAUCUUUGUGAUGAGAGGGAAGAGCAUGUUAAGUGGUGCACAUUAGAUAAGCUAGGCAUCACUUGGAAACCUGUGUGCCAGGACCUCUUAGUGUCAUGCCUAGGCUGCUGCCAGGGUAGAGGUCCUGUCCACAGAAAGAAAGGAGCAAGACGUGGAAGGAAGGAGAGCCACAUUUUAACCUUGAGUUGAUGGCUAGAUAGCUAUGAGGAAGGAUCCUGGAGCAAUAACUUGGUCUACGGGAGUGAAACCAGAAGUGUAACUGGAUGUGAGUUCUCCUCUUUUGCUGUUGGCUUGUCGUGUGUGAAGUCCACCUCAAGUUGGGCAGAGCCAUGGCAGCCCUCAGUCUUGUUCUCCCAAGGGAUUCUGUAGCUUGGAAAGGUGUUUGAUGCUGGAACCAUGAAAGUAGGUUUAUGCUCCCACCCUAGCCCAGGAGAACAGCUGGGCUGGGUACACUUCCCAGUUCUGAGGCACACAGUUGGGAGAGGGCAGACCACUGCCUCUGCCCAUUUCUGUCUCUGCUUAAUGGCAGCAUGUCUUCUUCUUUCUGUCAAGACCCUGCUCAAGAAGUAGACUGUAAUUGUAAGGAAUUACAGAUUUUAUUUUAGGCAGUCAGUCUUGGGGGUCACAGUGUGGUGCCUUGAAAGACAUGGGUCAGAUAGCAGUGUUGCAGAAAAGCAGAUUUAUCCAGACAGGAUGUAUCCUUGCCUCCAGCCAUGACACUUGGGAAGCCCUCACUGCAAGCCAGCCAGAGCUGACUUACGUGUGCUUGCUAAUUCAGAGGGAAAAAUGGUUUUCUGUUUGAAGUGGGUUUCAGUUAUUUUCUCAGGCUUUUGCUUUGAUGUUUAUCUGAUGCUUUC